GGUGAUAUAGCUGAGCAGCAAAGAGCCUGCCUGGCAAGCAUGAGGUCAUGAGUUCAAUUCCCAGUGCCAUUU
rnacentral:tRNA from 1 species